ACUUAAAGGAAUUGACGGAAGGGCACCACCAGGAGUGGAGCCUGCGGCUUAAUUUGACUCAACACGGGGAAACUCACCCGGCCCGGACACCGUGAGGAUUGACAGAUUGAGAGCUCUUUCUUGAUUCGGUGGGUGGUGGUGCAUGGCCGUUCUUAGUUGGUGGAGCGAUUUGUCUGGUUAAUUCCGAUAACGAACGAGACUCUAGCCUAUUAAAUAGUUCACCGGUGCACGCAGGCCGGUGUCAACUUCUUAGAGGGACAAGUGGCGCUUAGCCACACGAGAUUGAGCAAUAACAGGUCUGUGAUGCCCUUAGAUGUCCGGGGCUGCACGCGCGCUACACUGAAGGAACCAGAGUGCUUGUCACCUGGUCUGGAAAGACUGGGUAACCCGGUCAACCUCCUUCGUGCUAGGGACUGGGGCUUGCAAUUAUUGCCCAUGAACGAGGAAUUCCCAGUAAGCGCGAGUCAUCAGCUCGUGUUGAUUACGUCCCUGCCCUUUGUACACACCGCCCGUCGCUACUACCGAUUGAAUGGUUUAGUGAGACCCUCGGAUUCGUCCCGGCACGGUGGGUUCUCUGCCGAGCCGGUGUAGCGGAGAAGACGGUCAAACUUGAUCAUUUAGAGGAAGUAAAAGUCGUAACAAGGUUUCCGUA
rnacentral:rRNA from 1 species